rnacentral:rRNA from 1 species
AUCGAACGCUGGCGGCAUGCUUAACACAUGCAAGUCGAGCGAGCGGAGGACGGGUGAGCAAGGGCUGGGAAACUGCCUGACGGAGGGGGAUAACUACUGGAAACGGUAGCUAAUACUGCAUACCACCAUAUGUGCUCAGAUGGGUGUAGCUAGUAGGUGGGGUAAUGGCUCACCUAGGCGACGAUCCCUAGCUGGUCUGAGAGGCUGACCGGCCACACUGGAACUGAGACACGGUCCAGACUCCUACGGGAGGCAGCAGUGGGGAAUAUUUCACAAUGGACGCAAGCCUGAUGCAGCCAUGCCGCGUGUGUGAAGAAGGCCUUCGGGUUGUAAAGCACUUUCAGCGAGGAGGCGUUACUCGCAGAAAAAGCACCGGCUAACUCCGUGCCAGCAGCCGCGGUAAUUC